AUGGAAGAACUCACGGCUUUUGUAUCCAAAUCUUUUGACCAGAAAAGCAAAGACGGCAGCGGAGGCGGCAGCGGCGGCGGCGGCGGCGGCAAGAAAGAGUCCAUCACGUACAGGGAAGUUUUGGAGAGCGGACUGGCGCGCUCGCGGGAGCUGGGGGUUUCGGAGUCCAACCUCCACGACAUAACGGAGGCCGGCGGCCACUGCCCGGUGCAUCUCUUUAAGGACCACGUGGACACCGACAAGGACAAACUGAAAGAGUUCGGUUCGGGGAGGGCGGCGGAAGGUGUCUACGACUGCAAGGACAAGCGCGACGACGUGAAGUCGGAGGACGAGGACGGGCAGACCAAGCUGAAGCAGCGGCGCAGCCGCACCAACUUCACGCUGGAGCAGCUCAACGAGCUGGAGCGGCUCUUCGACGAGACGCACUACCCCGACGCCUUCAUGCGCGAGGAGCUCAGCCAGCGCCUCGGGCUCUCGGAGGCGCGCGUGCAGGUUUGGUUCCAGAACCGGAGAGCCAAAUGCCGCAAACAGGAGAACCAGAUGCACAAAGGCGUGAUCCUGGGCACAGCCAGCCACUUGGACGCCUGCAGGGUGGCCCCCUACGUGAACAUGGGCGCACUGAGGAUGCCUUUCCAACAGGUUCAGGCGCAGCUGCAGCUGGAAGGCGUGGCGCACGCGCACCCCCACCUCCACCCGCACCUGGCUGCGCACGCGCCCUACCUGAUGUUCCCGCCGCCGCCCUUCGGGCUGCCCAUCGCCUCCCUGGCCGAGUCGGCCUCGGCCGCCGCCGUCGUGGCCGCCGCGGCGAAGAGCAACAGCAAGAACUCCAGCAUCGCCGACCUCAGGCUGAAGGCGCGCAAGCACGCGGAGGCCCUGGGGCUCUGACCCGCCGGCCCGCCGCCCCGCGCGCGCCCCGGGCCCCGCCACCCCGUGCGUCCCUCCGUCCGUCAGUCCGUCCGUCCGCGGCGUCCUGCACUCCACCCCUCCGCUCCCCGCACCGCCCCCCACCCUCCGCCUCGACGGGCCGCACGGCCACCCUGGAGCCAGGGGGCAGCGAACUCCCCGCCCCGGGGCCGCCCUGGGAGAUCCCUCUCCACCCCCUGCAGGCCUCGGGACGGGGACAUCGGGGAGCGCACGGCACCUCCAGGGCCUCGCGGAGACCGUCGCGGGGCGGGAAGAGCGAGCAGGGGACGGUUGGACCACCCCAACUCGGCCCCCUCUUCGGGCGGCCAGUGCGUCCUGGGACGACCCUCGGCCACGUGGAGCUGCCCUGCGACCUCGCCUGCGGCUGCCACUUCCCACCCUGUGCAUGCGGCCUGCGCCACGCGCCUUUCCAAGAGCUCACAGUCUAG
rnacentral:lncRNA from 1 species